rnacentral:rRNA from 1 species
GUCUACAGCCAUGCUACCCUGAACAAGCCCAAUCCCAUCUGAUCCUGGAAACUAAGCAGGGUCAGGCCUGGUUAGUAUGUGGAUGGGAGACCACCUAGGAAGAUCAGGUGUUAUAGGCG